UACGUAGGGGGCGAGCGUUGUCCGGAUUUAUUGGGCGUAAAGAGCUCGUAGGCGGUUCGGUAAGUCGGAUGUGAAAUCUCCACGCUCAACGUGGAGGGGCCAUUCGAUACUGCCGUGACUCGAGUCCGGUAGGGGAGUGUGGAAUUCCCGGUGUAGCGGUGAAAUGCGCAGAUAUCGGGAGGAACACCAGUGGCGAAGGCGGCACUCUGGGCCGGUACUGACGCUGAGGAGCGAAAGCGUGGGGAGCGAACAGG
rnacentral:rRNA from 1 species